GCAGUCGACGGGGAUCGACGGUGUAGCAAUACAUCAGCGGUCCUAGUGGCGCACGGGUGAGUAACACGUGGGUGACCUGCCCUCGAGUUCGGGAUACCCCCUCGAAAGGGGGGCUAAUACCGGAUACGUUCCCCGGUUGAAAGGCCGGGGAGGAAAGGCGGCGCAAGCUGCCGCUCGUGGAGGGGCUCGCGGCCUAUCAGCUAGUUGGCGGGGUAAUGGCCCACCAAGGCGAUGACGGGUAGCUGGUCUGAGAGGACGACCAGCCACACGGGGACUGAGACACGGCCCCGACUCCUACGGGAGGCAGCAGUGGGGAAUUUUCCGCAAUGGGCGAAAGCCUGACGGAGUGACGCCGCGUGGGGGACGAAGGCCUUCGGGUCGUAAACCCCUGUCAGUGGGAAAGAGGGGUGUCGGCGCGAAUACCGUCGGCAUCUGACGGUACCUGCAGAGGAAGCCCCGGCCAACUCUGUGCCAGCAGCCGCGGUAAGACAGAGGGGGCAAGCGUUGCUCGGAAUUACUGGGCGUAAAGGGCGCGUAGGCGGGAUGGCAAGUCGGUCGUGAAAUCCCUCGGCUCAACUGAGGAAUGGCGAUCGAUACUGCUGUUCUUGAGGAUUGCAGAGGAGACUGGAAUUCCCGGUGUAGCGGUGAAAUGUGUAGAGAUCGGGAGGAACACCGGUGGCGAAGGCGGGUCUCUGGGCAAUUCCUGACGCUGAGGCGCGAAAGCGUGGGGAGCAAACGGGAUUAGAUACCCCGGUAGUCCACGCUGUAAACGAUGAGCACUAGGUGUGGGGGGGUUCAGUCCCUUCCGUGCCGCAGCUAACGCAUUAAGUGCUCCGCCUGGGGAGUACGGCCGCAAGGUUGAAACUCAAAGGAAUUGACGGGGGCCCGCACAAGCGGUGGAGCAUGUGGUUCAAUUCGAUGCAGAGCGAAGAACCUUACCUGGGCUUGACAUGCAGGAAGUAGAAACCGGAAACGGGGACGACCUGUUGAGUCAGGAACCUGCACGGGUGGUGCAUGGCUGUCGUCAGCUCGUGCCGUGAGGUGUUGGGGUUAAGUCCCCGCAACGAGCGCAACCCUUUGUCCCUUAGUUGCCAGCGGGGUAAAGCCGGGGAAUUCUAAGGGAGACCGCCCGGUG
rnacentral:rRNA from 1 species